UCGAAAAGUGAAAUAUAUCUGAUUGUAAUAAGCCUCAGGGAGCCUGAAUAAAAUACUAAUCCAAGUGUAUCUAUGUGGCUCCCACAGAUACAUUUGAAGAAGUUCCUGUUGUUUGUCAAUUACAUUAAGUAAAGGAAUUAGCAUUAUCACAGGUCCAAACAUGGUGAUUAUGAGAAUUUGCUGUUACAGUGUUACACAGUCUUAAUACGUCAAAACAACCUGUCACAGUGCUUUACGUGAUGUACAUACAAAAAUAUUUGCAUAACUGUAUAAAACAGUUGAAUAAUAACUGUAUAGCAUAUUGCUUAUAUAAACUGCACAAAUCUCAUUUGAAUAAAAACCAUUUAUAAAGUACUUGCAGUAUGCAAAAUGUGUUGGGCAAAGGGCAGGUCUGAGAGGCACACAC
rnacentral:lncRNA from 1 species